rnacentral:rRNA from 1 species
UUGGAGGGCAAGUCUGGUGCCAGCAGCCGCGGUAAUUCCAGCUCCAAUAGCGUAUAUUAAAGUUGUUGCAGUUAAAAAGCUCGUAGUUGAAUUUCGGGGUUCUACCGUUGGUCGGGCUAACCAGUCUGUACUAGCGUGUAGAAUUCCUACCUUCUGGGGAACCAUUAUGUUAUUAAUUUAGCGUGGUGGGAAACCAGGACUUUUACCUUGAAAAAAUUAGAGUGUUCAAAGCAGGCUUACGUCUGAAUACAUUAGCAUGGAAUAAUAAAAUAGGACGGUGGUCCUGUUUUGUUGG